rnacentral:rRNA from 1 species
GACAGAGGGUGCAAACGUUGUUCGGAAUUACUGGGCGUAAAGCGCGUGUAGGCGGCUCGGAAAGUCGGAUGUGAAAUCCCUCGGCUUAACCGGGGAACUGCGUCCGAUACUGGAUGGCUUGAGUGUGGGAGAGGGAUGCGGAAUUCCAGGUGUAGCGGUGAAAUGCGUAGAUAUCUGGAGGAACACCGGUGGCGAAGGCGGCAUCCUGGACCAUACUACGACGCUGAGGAGCGAAAGCCAGGGGAGCAAACGGG